UUUUUAACGGAGAGUUUGAUCCUGGCUCAGGAUGAAUGCUGGCGGCGUGCCUAACACAUGCAAGUCGAGCGGCAGCGAG
rnacentral:rRNA from 1 species